GUAGGUAAACUUUAGAAACUGGGUGAACUCACCUGUGUGAAAUGUAUGAGCAAUAGGUCAAGGCCAUGCUGUUUGUUUACCUGCUUUUAAUCUCCACCAGGGCACAGCAAUUUAUCAUCUUUCCAAAGUGAAAGCAUUGCUUGGUGCACAGGAAUGGGCUGCAGUCCCGUGGCCUAGGGGACACAGGUGUUCAGGUCAGAAAAAUCGAGUGGGCUUUCUGAGUUUAAGAUAAGCCUCUCCAGACAUAGGUAGUUCCAAUUACAUUUUGCUGCCAUUCCGUGAAGGUCAAACGUACUAAUGGGAUGAUCUUCUGAGCGGUGUUAUAGGGGCAGGAGAGGCUUGCCUUUUUCAAAACAAAAUGUUUAGAAAUAUCCAAUCUGUGUGCCACAUUCUCCUGCACCAUGCGCUGAGCAGCAGCAGCAGCCACUGGUUUGGCUCAGCAGUAAUCACUGGGCCAGACUUUCAUUAGUGUCUAACACUAAUUAAUAUGCCAUGUGCUCUUUCAAGAACACCAGAUAAGUACUCACAGCUUUUGCUAGGCAGAUGGUAACUUUCAUUACUUGACCAGAUUUGCUGAUCGCUGUUAGGUAUCUCGCCCCCACCACAGCCCUGCAGCCAUACCGUAUCGUGCCUUGAGCAUUCCCAGCCAGAGAAAAGGAGGAUAAUAUUUGGUUUUGAAAGCCUGGGUAAAAUCCCAUUUCUCUUUUCUGAUACUCUUGUUGCUAACAUCAGAUUUUUCCUGAAUCUUACCUGAAUACAGUCAGAAGAAGCUGCAGGUUUAAGCUCACCAUGAGCAGCAAAGCCCUUUUGUUUUUCCACAACUUUGUAGCAUCUUUUGGGUCUCAGAAGGGGAAUUGAAAGUCAUAAAUUUCUUUGUGUGUCCUCCUUUCACACUCCUAGGAGUGAAAAAUAAAAUGCUCCCCAGCUAGGCCAUCCCUCAGCUCUGAAUAAACAUUUUUUCGAGGGCUCCCAUGCUUGCCAAGGUGUCAGGAUAACAUUCUCAUGCUGAUUCCUCUGCCUUCUUUCAGCAUCCCGGUGCUGGGGGUCCAUUUCCGAGGCUUUGAAGUGGCCAAACUCUCACCUCAUCUCAUACACAUGGAAAUCAGAUCACCAGGAGAAGGAGCAAGCUUGUAAAUCCCAUGAAGAAGCCAACAGGGCAAGUUAGGAAAUGGUGACCUUCAGUGUAUUAACAGUCGAGUGAAGAGCUCUGUGCUGCCGAAGAGGCUGCAGUAAAAAUGGAGAAGAGGUUGGUAGGUCAAUCCAUUUCUCUCUUUCAAGAGUGAGAUAGCGGGGCUUGCUGACACAUACCAGAGAGCCCUUUGAGCUUGCCUUCCUCCCAUUUCAAGAAAAGGAGUUUAUCAGGCCUGUGAUGUCUGAGAUAGAUCCUGUCCUGAGCUGAAGCGCACCAUCUACCACAAGCAAGAAAGGCCAUGCCCAUGACGUAUAACUACGUGUACUCAAUCUGGUGGCCAUCAACACCUCGCUGAUAAACUGGAAAUCCUCACCUUCUUCCAUCCUCUCCUUCCAAACGACCCAUGAAAGAGCCCCGGAGAUCAAAGAAAUCCUCUUCCAUCCUUAUCCUUCUGACAGAGGGACUGGUGGGAUUUAGCACCCAUGUGGGAAUGUGAGCAUCCGUAACUGGGGAGUGGCAGAGGUGGAAAAUGAGAUGGGGAGGGGAUGUAGAGAGGCACAGAAGAUGAAUUACCUGGGAAGGGGGUGCGUGCUGAAUUGUGCUCCUCAUAGCGAGCGUGACAAGACAGAAAUUACUUCCUCUGCCCCAAAUGAAGAUCAAGGAGCAUUUGCAUUCAAAGGGGUCGGUUUUGCACAUAUCCCAUCCCUUCAGUCACUCUCUUUUAACUCAGAAUCCUCAGUAAUUAAUUGCUCUUCAAAUUCUGCUCCUGCGAAUCGUAUAUCUGAAGAACUUACUUCUUUCCCCAGUGCUGAAUGCAUUUUUUUUCUUCUGUCAAAUGCUGACUUUAAAACAAAAGGAUUUAGGUGAGAGUAGUGGGGAUUUAAAGAUCCCCAAACUUCUGAAAUAUAGGCUCAAUUGUUAGAGAUAACUGAACAAACUGUCAAAUAAGAGUUACCCAUUAUUUAUCUUUUAUUUUUUCUUUUCCUACAAUUUUAGGCUUCAUCUUGAAUUCGCAUUCACAAACGCAGCAACCCGGGGGCUUUUCACAGCACCUUAAGCAGACUGAAGUGGAGCUGGCGCAUAAUCAGCGACGGAACAGCUGUUAUCCAGAGAUAACAGAGGCUGCAGAUGUGCAUGGGGUCAAGGGAGACAAUGCCGGGAGGUGUCUUGAAAUAGAUCCCUGUCAAUCAUGCCCUAAAAACGAUGAGUGCAGCCGUCAGCAGAAUCCUUCUUAGAAGUGUAAAUAUUCUGCAUAUUGAAGUAUGUGGCAGUGAGAUGAAUGCGGAGCUUUGGAUAAGUGUAAUUUUAAUGCAUUUAUUUCAAAGACAAGUUGAUUUUGAUCACUUGGUAUGCCAAUUUCAAAGGUCUAGUGAAAAAUACAGGGAAACAAGACCAUACCCAUGGGCUCAGGGAAGAUCUUUCUCACCUGGUACCCAUCUUCCAAUGGCAAUAGCAGUGCGCAAGAAUUGGGCAAGCAAAGAAUGAAAGUCCUCCAGAUAUUGGGUAGUCUGUGAUUUAAGGACUGUUGAGCUGAAGUUGACACUGUGUAUUGGUGUUGAAUACUGGUUGCGUCCAAACCAGUAUGAACACUGCACCUGGUUCCUGAGCAGCGUACCUGGCCUCUUACAAGAGGUCUAUGAAAGGUAAUUUGGAAAAGUAGAGGUCUACAAAAGGUAAUUUGGAAAAGUCAGUGACCAGCCAUCUUAAGCCUAGUACCAACUACAUGUGCCAUCAUGGCAAGUGUUGGCAUCUCCCUGCUCAGAAGGGUUGAAGCCAACAACCAGCAGUGAGGGAAAUACAUUCACCAAGGAACUGAAAGCAGCAGCUCAGGAUCUCCUGCUGUGCACCAGCACACAGCGUUUCACCUGUUCUCCAGCUCAGUGUAUCAGUGAGCAGCAUGUGCUGCACUCACUCUGGCCACAGGCACGUCCUCAGUGAGCUAUUCUGGUACCUGAAGAAGGCAGGGCAAAGUCAGUGUGGCUUGCCUGAGGCUGAGAUAAGCCUCUAUUCCCGCUGUCAGAAGUGCAGCUUUCAGAGCACAAAAAGGAAGGUGAGCGCUCACAGGUCAACUAGUUAUGGCUGCACUCAUUCUCUCUGGAGCAUCUUUUGUGACCAGUAGAGAGUUGUGUUGGGUUUAGCUGAGAACUGUGAGUGAGAGCACACAGCGGUUACGUUCCCAGCCCAGCGUGUUGUUUUUUUAUGGCCCCCAUCCCCAGCAGAGGACAAUGGCUUCUGCAGCUCUUAGGAUCCACAGGAAUCUGGUGUUUGACAAUACACUCCCAACACAUCUGUUUUGUUUUUCUGUUUUGGUUUUAUUUUACUGUUGAAAUUAGGAGUUUCCAUUUUAGCCCCCCUCCUCCACCCUCCCCUCUCCCCCCCUUUUUAAUUGCUUUCUCCCCUCCUCCACACUUUAUUCUUUCGGCACAGGGCUGCCACUUACCAGCUGUUCACAAUUCCUUCACCCCUUCUGCUUUUCAGUACUAGAUUACCACGACAUACACUCAAAGGAUAUUUUCUUCCUUGCAGGAGGUCCCUGCUUCCCAUACCCACUGAAUACAUUUAACAAAAAUACUUUUCUCUCUCUUUUGUAUCUUGGAGGGAAGUCAUCAUAUCUGCACUCAUUCCAUGAUUCAGAUUGGCCAAUCUCUAAUUGCUUGAGUUUGAUUUCUUGUCUGUUUUCAGAUCCCAGGACUGCUGAUUAUUCCUUCUCCUUGGUAGACCAAGCUCACCCACAAAAAACGUGAGAGGCUUCUAAACUUCAGCCAAAUAGACAUCCCAGGCUCUUUGCUUCCAGGAACGGAAAACUGAAGAUAACACAAGAUGGCCAUCUCACCUGCUCCAGUGCUCCGACCAGAUAGCAACGGCACACAGCAGCGAGGGAACGUGCAACCCCGGUGCCUGCUACUGUACCUCCUCCAUGACUGCAAACAACCUGAACACUCAAAUCACUUUGUGUUUCUCCUACUCAUUUGGCAUCCAUCAAAAGCAUUAAAUUCAUUCAAGUGUAAGUUACAUAGCUCCUCUUGUUUGUUGCCCUUUCUUGAUAACUGCUUAAAUCUUGUAUGUUGGGAUGGAGCUGUCCAGAAGGCAGGCAGGCCGGCCAACCUGUUACCAUCCGCUGCUUCUCACUGCAACUUAAGUACUACUCAUUUUCACUAGAGCUCAGUAACUCUGUACAGAACUACUGUGAGAUACUUGUGCAAUCCAGCACAAAACUGGGACCAAGGG
rnacentral:lncRNA from 1 species